rnacentral:rRNA from 2 species
UACGGGGUGGGCGAGCGUUGCCCGGAAUUACUGGGUUUAAAGGGGGUGUAGGCGGUCCGGAGAGUCAGGUGUGUAAUCCAACCGCUCAACGGUUGGGCUGCACCUGAUACUUCCGGGCUAGAGGGCGGUAGAGGAGAGCGGAACUCCCGGUGUAGCGGUGAAAUGCGUAGAUAUCGGGAGGAACGCCGGUGGCGAAGGCGGCUCUCUGGGCCGUUCCUGACGCUGAGGCCCGAAAGCUGGGGGAGCGAAAGGG